rnacentral:rRNA from 1 species
UACGGAGGGUGCAAACGUUGCUCGGAAUCAUUGGGCGUAAAGCGCACGUAGGCGGCCCGAUAAGUCGGAUGUGAAAGCCCUCGGCUCAACCAAGGAAGUGCAUUCGAAACUGUCGGACUUGAGUACGGGAGGGGGUUGCGGAAUUCCCGGUGUAGAGGUGAAAUUCGUAGAUAUCGGGAGGAACACCAGUGGCGAAGGCGGCAACCUGGACCGAUACUGACGCUGAGGUGCGAAAGCCAGGGGAGCAAACGGG